CCCGACGUCAGCGGAAGUGGCGUAGGAAGCUUGGCUUCCCCGGACUCGCGGUCACAAUAUUGGCUUUUGAGGUUCCGUCAGAUUUCCGCGAGCGGCUUUAAGAAUCCCGCGUGGUGGGAAUUCCAGGACUUAAGAUGUGGUUUGUGAUGCUGCCUUCCUAGAAUGAGACCACUCCUAUAAAGGAAAAAACUUCAGUCUCAAGCCCAGAAAUUCGUCCUUGCUGAGGAUACUACUUGAUACACUGUUACCAGGAUUUCAGGAUAGAUCCUAAAAGUGGUGGCCAUUUCCUAAAAGCUGUGAAAAGAUGACCCAGUCCCAGGGCUUAUUGUCAUUCAGUGACGUGGCUGUGGAUUUCACCUGGGAAGAGUGGCAGCUUCUAGACACCGUUCAGAAGGACCUCUACCGGGAUGUGAUGCUGGAAAAUUACAGCAACCUCAUGUCCCUGGGUAAAGACAACUUUCCUAAUAACCGCAGCAUAUGCCCAUUAAUUGCCUGUCUUUUUUCCAUUGCAACAAUCUAUGGGUACUUGGAUGCCCUCAAUGAUUUUGAACUUGGACUAGUAUUGGUAGGUGACAGAGCUGAUUUUAUUAUCUUACAGGGACUGUACUUAAUUUCAUUUUCCAAUUAAAAAGCUUCUAUUGUUCUGAGAGUUAAGCCAUACGUUCCCUGACAUAGAACUUUCCCUCACAAGCCCUAAUACUGCUCUGGUUCUCUUUGAUUACCCCUGACAGGUCAUCAAGCGACCAAGCCAGAAGCAGUGGUGCACUUGGAGAAAGGAAAGCAACAAGGAACAGUCGAGAGGGAAUUUUCAAAUCAGUGUAGUCCAGGUGAGUGAAACCAAUGCAGGAGGAGUUCAUAGAAGCAGCGUAACUGUUGGUACUGUUGGAUUGAGACCUUUGCUAUUUUAGUAUAUA
rnacentral:lncRNA from 1 species